rnacentral:rRNA from 1 species
UACGGGGGGGGCAAGCGUUGUUCGGAAUUACUGGGCGUAAAGGGCGCGUAGGCGGUCAGAUAAGUCAGCUGUGAAAACCUCGGGCUUAACCCGAGGCCUGCAGUUGAAACUGUUUGGCUGGAGUGUGGGAGAGGAGAGUGGAAUUCCCGGUGUAGCGGUGAAAUGCGCAGAUAUCGGGAGGAACACCGGUGGCGAAGGCGGUUCUCUGGGCCUUACCUGACGCUGAGGAGCGAAAGCGUGGGGAGCGAAACAGG